UGGGGAAUAUUGCACAAUGGGGGAAACCCUGAUGCAGCGACGCCGCGUGAACGAAGAAGGUAUUCGUAUCGUAAAGUUCUGUCCUAUGGGAAGAUAAUGACAUUACCAUAGAAGAAAGCUCCUGCUAAAUACGUGCCAGCAGCCGCGGUAAUACGUAUGGAGCGAGCGUUGUCCGGAAUUAUUGGGCGUAAAGGGUACGCAGGCGGUUUAAUAAGUCGAAUGUUAAAGAUCGGGGCUCAACCCCGCAAAGCAUUGGAAACUGAUAAACUUGAGUAGUGGAGAGGAAAGUGGAAUUCCUAGUGUAGUGGUGAAAUACGUAGAUAUUAGGAGGAAUACCAGUAGCGAAGGCGACUUUCUGGACACAAACUGACGCUGAGGUACGAAAGCGUGGGGAGCAAACAGG
rnacentral:rRNA from 1 species